UACGAAGGGGGCUAGCGUUGUUCGGAAUCACUGGGCGUAAAGCGCACGCAGGCGGAUCGAUAAGUUGGGUGUGAAAGCCCGGGGCUCAACCUUGGACUUGCCUUCGAGACUACCAGUCUCGAGUGCGGGAGAGGUGAGUGGAAUUCCUGGUGUAGGGGUGAAAUUCGUAGAUAUCAGGAAGAACACCAGUGGCGAAGGCGGCUCACUGGCCUGGUACUGACGCUCAGGUGCGAAAGUGUGGGGAGCAAACAGG
rnacentral:rRNA from 1 species